GGGGAAUUUUGGACAAUGGGCGCAAGCCUGAUCCAGCCAUGCCGCGUGUCUGAAGAAGGCCUUCGGGUUGUAAAGGACUUUUGUCAGGGAAGAAAAGGCUGUUGCUAAUACCGACAGCUGAUGACGGUACCUGAAGAAUAAGCACCGGCUAACUACGUGCCAGCAGCCGCGGUAAUACGUAGGGUGCGAGCGUUAAUCGGAAUUACUGGGCGUAAAGCGAGCGCAGACGGUUACUUAAGCAGGAUGUGAAAUCCCCGGGCUCAACCUGGGAACUGCGUUCUGAACUGGGUGACUAGAGUGUGUCAGAGGGAGGUAGAAUUCCACGUGUAGCAGUGAAAUGCGUAGAGAUGUGGAGGAAUACCGAUGGCGAAGGCAGCCCCCUGGGAUAACACUGACGUUCAUGCUCGAAAGCGUGGGUAGCAAACAGGAUUAGAUACCCUGGUAGUCCACGCCCUAAACGAUGUCAAUUAGCUGUUGGGCAACUUGAUUGCUUAGUAGCGUAGCUAACGCGUGAAAUUGACCGCCUGGGGAGUACGGUCGCGAGAUCA
rnacentral:rRNA from 1 species